GAUGAACGCUGGCGGCGUGCCUAAUACAUGCAAGUCGAGCGAACAGACGAGGAGCUUGCUCCUCUGACGUUAGCGGCGGACGGGUGAGUAACACGUGGAUAACCUACCUAUAAGACUGGGAUAACUUCGGGAAACCGGAGCUAAUACCGGAUAAUAUAUUGAACCGCAUGGUUCAAUAGUGAAAGACGGUUUUGCUGUCACUUAUAGAUGGAUCCGCGCCGCAUUAGCUAGUUGGUAAGGUAACGGCUUACCAAGGCAACGAUGCGUAGCCGACCUGAGAGGGUAAUCGGCCACACGGAAACUGAGACACGGUCCAGACUCCUACGGAGGCAGCAGUAGGGAAUCUUCCGCAAUGGGCGAAAGCUUGACGGAGCAACGCCGCGUGAGUGAUGAAGGUCUUCGGAUCGUAAAACUCUGUUAUUAGGGAAGAACAAAUGUGUAAGUAACUAUGCACGUCUUGACGGUACCUAAUCAGAAAGCCACGGCUAACUACGUG
rnacentral:rRNA from 1 species